UAUCACCUGUGGCUCCUAGAAGCUGUCAGCGUGCAACAGCAGCCAUCCCUCAGGAACAGCUUUGACUGGACAGCUAAAGCAGGUGAGGGUAGACAGUGGGUCUCAAACCCUCAGUGAGUUAGGGACUUCCCCUGCAUGCAAAGACAGGCUACGAUGGAUUGAAUGGACAAGACUAAAAGUGGGUCCAAUGGUGAAGAAGGUGGUUUCUGCACAUGCUGUAGAAGGAAGUGAGGGGCAGAUGGGGGUGGUCAACCUGGGAAGGUAGUCCAUCUAGGGCAGGCUUCCUCAACCUCGGCCCUCCAGAUGUUUUUGGCCUACAACUCCCAUGAUCCCUAGCUAGCAGGACCAGUGGUCAGCGAUGCUGGGAAUUGUAGUCUCAAAACAUCUGGAGGGCUGAGGGUGAGGAAGCCUGACCUAGGAGAUACAAAACUCUGAUCCUAAACCUCCACUGACUUGUGGGUAUACUCACUUGUGAGAAAAAUCCAUUAUCUGCUACCAUGUGGGAUAUCUUCGGGAGAAGAGAAGGCUAAGGAGCAAAUCCUACACAAAUCCAAAGUACAGUCCCUAAGACAGUUGGUUGGAGACUUAUACUCCUCCUUGCAGCAACUCUUGCAGCCAAGCUAGUGCCAAAUGUAUUGCUCUGCUUUCCUUUGGACCACAUCAGUGAGGCUGAGAGGGGAGGCGGUCUUGUUGUCUGGGCAGCCCAGGACCUCCAUACACACUGCCCAGGCUUGCACCCUGGAGAGGUCACUUCAGUGAUGCUAGUGCAAAAGCAAUGAGGAAGGCAGUAGUUACUCGUCUCUGCAGCCACAGCAGGCACUGUGAUUUUUCUGUGGUCUGACUUCAUCCCAGGAGGCAUACUCAAUUGUCUCUUGAGACAGGCAGAUGCAAACAAAAGACCUCAUAUUUUUAUGAGUAAACAAUGGAUUUUCAGUAAGUCAGGAAGGUCAAGGUUCCAGCAAUUUCCUUUACCUUUUCACGGACUCCAAAUUGUCAAAAGGAAAAACACAACGUAUGCUAUGGUAUGGGUGUGUGCUAUAUGGUCACAACCAGGAGAACUUUGCUCUUCCAGGGGACAUAUCUGAACUGCUGCAUCUUAGUCAUUCCUUAAUAGAUUUUUGCUAGGAUUUUGCCAGUUUAUAUUAGUCACAACACAAGUACUCCAUGUCAAAUUUCACCAAGAUGGGUCCAAUUAUUUUUAGUUUAUAAUAAUAGAACACUUCUAUAAUAAUAUACCAGGCUUCUGCUUUAAUAUCCAGCACUCUCCAUCCUGUUUAAUCAGACCUAUAUCAAAGAAAGGAAGACCUGCAAGUACUACAUAUUCUUCAACCAGAUUUGAACAUUGCAGAAGAAGCAACGUUGCCCAUAAGCAGGAGCUGAUGCCACAGGUAUAGGACACAGCAACCUGGAAGAAGGCAGCAGUAGCUUGUAAUGUAUGGUUUCCCCAAUGUUUUCGAUGAAGCAACCAGAAAAAAAAAGACAAAGUCUGCAGCAAAACCUUUUAAAUAGAAAUAAUUUACCAUAGCCUUCUCAGGGAGUGCAGUACAUUCUUACGUCCAUGGAGUUAAAGCAACAGACAAGCAAAAUUGUGGGAUGAUGCAUGAGGUUUACAAUUUUUUGGUACACUGCCAUCUUAUCUACAAGAACUGCAGCUGGUGCAGGACAAGGAAAAAAGGGACCAUCUCCCUAGAAGAUUAAUAGUUUGCUGCAUGGAAGAACAAAGUGUAGAUAAACAUAAAUAAACAUGCAUUGAACACCGUCUGCUGCGUAUGAGCUAAAUCAUUCUGCCAAAGGGAAAUAAAGAAAAGCUACUUUAACAUUUAGAGCAGUGCAAGACAGCAUGGAUAAGCUCAGGUAAGCAGAGUUUACUGGCAAAACAAAUCCCCAGCAUUAACACCUGAAUACAUUUUCUGACAUGGUGUACUUUAUUAAAGAUGCUUUCCAGCCACUGAAAUCCAAUAGUUUAAUUGCACUAGGAAGCUGAUGAAGAUAAAAACGUUAAUUCUUAGGAGCAUGCUUUAUCAAAGGAUGUAAAAUGCAAUCUGAAAGACACUGAUGUAUUAACAUUCAAACAGCAUCAUUAAUGUAAUUAAUUCUCGUUCUAAAUCUCCUCUUUUGUUACUAAAGUCCUGUGAGAUAAGCAGGGUUUAUUUAAGCCUGUACACGUACACACACACACACACACACACACACCUAAAGAUAACAGAAAACAGAUUUAUACAGAUGGGAAAUCUUCAAUUUCUAACCAUUGUUCUUUGUUAACAAGUGUGGCAUUGACUUCUGAUUAAGCCAGAGUUUUUCCAAAUAACUUGACUUGUUUCACUAAUUUGAAAUUCAUUCUUUUUAUAACACAUACCAUUAAAUAUAAAAAAUUCUUAAACACUUUACAAUAAGAAUUCAAUAAAAAAACCUAUGAACAACAUCCAAUUACCUCAAAAACUGGAUAGAAAUGCUACUGUACAUCACAAAUAAAACUGAGCAGUGUACAAAAUUGGGAACGUGUUUCAGAGGGUGGGUGCUAACACCAAGAAGGCCUGUUAUUGCUUUGUCACAAGUGGUAUUAUGGAACGAUCAGCAAGAUUUCCUCAAAGAUCAUAUGACUGGCCUGGCCUGGGCUGUACUGGAGAAGGUAUCCUGGUCCCAAGUUGUUUAGGACUAAGUAUCAAUAAAAUAAUCUCAAAAUUGGCUUGGUAGCUAAUAGGCGCCCAGCGCAGAACUUUUCACACUGGUGUGAUUAUGUGCAAAUCUGGUUGCCUCAGUAACUGCAUUUUAUGCUGUUUGCAACUACCGAAUCAGGCACAGGAGUAGAGCCAAUGGCAGUGCAUUAAAGUAAUCUAAUUGGGAGGUUACCAAUGCAUGAAUCACCAUGGCAAGACUAUGCUGUCUAGGAAUGAUCCUAGUUGGCACACCAACACAAAUUAAUUAUGGGCACCCCAAGACACUGACAUCACUAGGGAUUCUAACGACAGUUCAUCUAGGAUCACCCCCAAAGUAUGCUACUUCAAAUGCAGUGUGACCCCAUCUAGAGCUGGUACACAAUCUAAUUCCCAGACUUGGGAAUUAGCCAUCCACAGGGCCUCCACCUUGUCAAGAUUCAAUCACAGUUUAUUAUCCUUCAUCCAACCCAUGGCAGUAUCCAGGCACCAGUUUGGGAAAGGCAAAGCCUGUCCUGAUUCAAAUAUUACAAAGAAACAAAGAUGCGUAUCAUCUGGAUAUUAGCUCACAAAACUGGAUGUUCCCCACCCCUGAUUUAAAGGUUUGAAGGUCAUCACCAGCAUAUAUAUUCCUCUGUUUCUCAUCCCUUGGUCACUCGCAACUGACUCCAUCAUUAUGUUUGAGAGCACAGGAAGUAAUAUGAAAGUUCUGUACACAGUAUGGAUCUGUGCGGAUCAUUGACUCAUGCAAAUUACAAAGGAAUACAAUCAUUAAGUGAUGACAAUGCACCUAUGAACCAGCUUCAAAAGUACCCUUUUGAAUUAUGCACAUUUCAGUAAAUACAAAUAAGAAAUAUGAUGCAAUAGAAUUGGAGUAAAAAUUAACAAAAUACUGGUGUCUAUUUGUUUAGUUUGCAGUGGAUGCUUGAUAGAUGCACUUAAGAUUUACCGAAUGACUACUAGACUUUAUAAUUCUCUGGUGGAGGUGGGGGAAUGCCUUUUAAUCAGUCCGUAGUUAAUUGGUUUUCAUUGACUUCUUUUAUCCAAGUUGCCUGGAAUGAUAUAUGCAUGCAAAACUUUUAAACCUCCAACAAUCUUCUCUUCAGUUUUCCUGAUAUUCACAAGAAUGCAAAAAUGUGCCCUAUUUAAAUAUUAUUGCAAUGCACAAUGAAAUCUGGUUAACUAUACAGAUUUAUUCUUUCUGAAUUUCAGCAUCAUUCUAUAAGUAUUAAUACAUAAGCAUUUAAAUAUAUAUGCAUGGUUAUAUGUAUUUUUAAUGUGUCAAUUACUUUAGGAAACCUGGAGUCUGUAGGCUUACAUUAUACAUAUAGUAAUGUGUAUAAUAAUACACAUUAUAUGCAAUAAUUGUUCAUAUUUUUAGAAGUAGUAGUAGAAAAGCCCAAACCCCUCACUUCCAAUCUUCUAAUUCCAAGAUGGGAAUUAGGGGAAAAAAAUCAGUUUGGAUGCACUCAACAUUGAAAUUAUAAGAAAAUUCCAUCCAUACUGCUUAUUCAAUCAUGAUUGGUUUGCACUCACCACCAUUUCUAGAAGCUUGGUGUAACUCCUGAUCAUUAAAGGCCAUUAAUUUAUGUCCCUAUUGCCAACCAUUGAGUGUCAUGCUGUGUAAAGGCCCAGGGCAUUUCCAAUAACCUACAAGUUUGUUAUGCAAAAUAUGUUAUCAUAUUUUCCACACUAUGCAGAAAGUUUAUUGAAACUUAUAAGCGAACACCCCAAUAAAUGCAAUCGAUCGAUCAAAAUAAUAUAAAACUGCAAAAUCGUGAAAUACCCAUAAAUCAGACUGGAUAGUACAAGACAGAGGAGAAGAUGGGUAGCAUUGUAGGUAUUGCAAAAUAUUUCAGGGAUAGGGCAGGAUGGAGUGCACAAGAAAGAUGCAUUUUUAUGGAUGCAUUUUUGUAGGCUUGUCUGUAUGGGCAUGGGCAUGUUGAAAAUGAUAAUAAUGGAUGGAUGACCAACCUUUGCAUAGGCACUGCAAUGAACACAUGUAACUAGGUUUGUGAAUCUGCUGGAAAGAGGCAAGAUGGGAAUGCAGGCUUAGUCAGGGCAAUGAGUUAGGUCAGCACACCUGCUUGCGUUUCAUGCUGUACUACUGCUUGCUCUCCAGCUCAGUGUUCUACACUAGAGGCAAAAGUGCUCCAAAGCUCUUGGAGCUCCAUAAUACGCACGAACAAGAUUGGCAGCACCUCAUUUCAAAGCCCUGACUUCUAUUACACUGGGGGGGGAAAGUUGACCUACAAUAGUUUUAUAGGUCUGAGGCAUAUGAAGCACCAAAAUAGGACUUUGCACACAGCCUCCAUUUCUUUUAAUCCAGCUUUCUUUAAUCAUAGCUUCAAGGGCAUACGGAGGUCUAAAUAGACUUGAUUUUGAAGCACAGAUGAGCAACCUAUUCCUUUUUGCCCUUGGAGUUAGAGAAGCACAAAUUAUGCAAGUACAAGUAGGAUUGCAACUGACACAGCAACCCAAAAACACAAUAUCUAUGAUUAUAAAAAUAAAAAAUGAUGUAGAUCAUCCAAAGAGGAUGUGUGUGAAGCUUUCCCUUUUUUUUCUAAAACAUUGUACUAAACUUGACCUCUGUAAAAAAGAAUAAGAGGUUGCACAUCUUGUGCAAAAACCAAAAGGGAUCUGGCAGGCCAUUUUAUUUAUUUAUCCUUGCAGCAUAUUGGGAGCAUCAUUUUAGAACUCCAACACAUGACAGGAAGCAUCUGCCUGGCUGCCCAGAUACAAUACUCCUUAGGCAGAGGAAACAGGGAUAGGAUGCUGCCCUAUACAAAGUCAAAGUGUUUGUCCAUUUAGCUUGGCAUUGUCUAGCUGACUGUAGCUCUCCAGGGUCUCAGGAAGGUGGCAUCUUUCGCAUCAUCCUACUACUUCAUCUCUAUAACUGAAUACAUGAGGGACAGAAAAUGGGAUCUUUUGCUUCUGAAGCUUGUAAUCUACCAGAGCUAUAGUUCCUAAUUAAGCUAAGUAGGCCAACAAGGUUCCAUGUGGGUCUGCCUUUGAAGGUGGUUCAGAAACAGCAACAUGUACACAGUGUGGCUGAACAUAAGAAGAACCUGGUUCAGGCCAAUGGCCCAUCUACAAUAGUCCAGCAUCCUGUUCCCACAGUGAACAAUCAGAUGCUUUCUCAAGCGUCUAAUAUUAGGCUCAGCCAAGGAGCAUGACUCAUUUUUGGAGAUGCUUUUUGUUACUGGAAGAAAUGUACACUCUAGGCUAAAUCCUGUUUAAGAGAAAAGCUGUACUUGGAACCAAGGCAAACAUGAGAGAUCUUCACUUGGUGCAGUGCCACAUAAAUGUUCAUCUAAUAAAGUGAAGUGGAAAAAACACAAUAUGAAAACUAUGUUUUAGAAAACUACAUCCUCAAUCCAGAAGGACUUUAGUGAGAGUAAGUCUAAUUGGCACACUUAUUAGUUUAUGUCCGGGAUCUAAGUGCUGAUUCACACCACAAUGAGUCAUGGAAUUACCGUAGAAUUUUCUCUAUUCAUGAUCAAGGUCUGAGGUAAACUGAAGAUGCCACGGACAGAACUAGCAUUUCCAAUUGAACGUUCUUGUUAUAUGUCUUCCAUACAGAAAACAGCCUCAGCCCAAGCUCUUUUCUUGCUAUAAGUCUUCUAGGAUUAUUUGCCUUCACCCUCUGAAAUAACAUUAACUGGCAGUCUUUUAAUUGCUUUUACUAGGGUCAGCUGAAGAUACAUUAACACUGAAGAUACAUUAAAGUGAGAGGUCAGAGGGAACAUACAUGAAAGGUGACUACUGAAGCCAAGAAGCUAGGAUGAUGCCGAGCAACAGAGCAAACUAGGUCAUUUGACUCGUGACUUGUGUAUUUGGAUGCUAACUGUAUUUGCUUAACAGUUCAUUUCUUCAGAGAAUGCAAAAUCUGGCUCUUUAAGGCCAUGAAACAUGGUAACAUAAUUUGUAUGUAAGUUAGAUUCAAAAAGAAAUACUGCAAAUGCAGUAUUAAAUACCAAUUUACACAUUUAACAAGCACCAUUGGAAGCAUUUGCAUGCAGUAAUAGAUCACCUUCUUAAUAAUAAUAAUAUUUCUUAUACCUUGCCCAUCUGACUGGGUUGCCCCAGCCAUUCUGGGUGGCUUCCAACAAGAAUACAAACAAAACAAACAAAUCAAAUAUUAACAGCUUCCUGAAACAGGGCUGCCUUUAGAUGUCUACAAAAAAUUAUAUAGUUGACUCUGUGACAUCUCUUUGACAUUGCAAAAUGUGAGAUUAGAUCACAUCUAUUUUUUACUCAUUGACACACUCUUCAAUUUUCAUUCUUUAACUGAUUCCAUUUGUGUGUGUGUGUGUGUGUGUGCAUGCAAGUAACAUGAGGUACA
rnacentral:lncRNA from 1 species